rnacentral:miRNA from 1 species
AGUGACUGAGGCAGUGGAUGAGA